UACGUAGGGUGCGAGCGUUAAUCGGAAUUACUGGGCGUAAAGCGUGCGCAGGCGGUUAUGUAAGACCGGUGUGAAAUCCCCGGGCUUAACCUGGGAACUGCAUUUGUGACUGCAUAGCUAGAGUACGGUAGAGGGGGAUGGAAUUCCGCGUGUAGCAGUGAAAUGCGUAGAUAUGCGGAGGAACACCGAUGGCGAAGGCAAUCCCCUGGACCUGUACUGACGCUCAUGCACGAAAGCGUGGGGAGCAAACAGG
rnacentral:rRNA from 1 species